rnacentral:lncRNA from 10 species
CCCGUCCACGUUACCGCAUUCAGAGCUUGGGUCACCUGGACACUGAACUCAGGUGAAUUUUCUCUGAGAUCCCGGGAGAAGGAGGACAGUUCUUUGGAAGGUUUUCCAGGGCCGAUCACGGAAAGGAUGAGAAGGGAGAGGUCCUGGUUGGGGACACAAUUACGGUGGCAGUGUAACGCCGGGAAACUUUAUUGCAUGAAGUCCCUCUCACUCCCUCUACCUCCCUCUUUUACGUGGACUCUGCCAAAGACCAGGAUACCAGAAUGCGGUGGAGUGACCAACUGUAGUGAGACCUUUGGAACGCGAUUCUGGAGCCAGGCGGCUGGGGUUUGCAUCCUGGUUCUGCCCCUCCUUAGCUGGCUGACAUGGCACAAGCCACUUACCCUCUCUGAGCCUUACUGUCUUCAGUGGCAAAUGGAUCUGUCAACAGGCUCCAUUGCCUGGGGUUGUUGCUGCUGAGAUUAAGGGAAGCUCGUCCAUAGAAGCACUUAGCGUUGUGCCUGGCACAUAGUGUAUGGUGGAUAAGUGGGACUUAGGACUAAAACUCAUGCCUUGGUGUGUUUUUCAGUGAUGUUUUGUUCUGGAGUACGUCACAAGAGACAAGGUCCUUGGCUGGGCAUGGUGGCUGAAGCCAAUAAUCCCAGCACUUUGAGAGGCCGAAAGGGGGGGAUCACUUGAGC